ACUCAAAUGAAUUGACGGGGGCCCGCACAAGCGGCGGAGCAUGUGGCUUAAUUCGACGCAACGCGAAGAACCUUACCAGGGCUUGACAUGCGGGGCGAAGCCCAUGAAAGUGGGCGCUCCUACGGGAGCCCGCACAGGUGUUGCAUGGCCGUCGUCAGCUCGUGCCGUGAGGUGUUGCCUUAAGUGGCGCAACGAGCGCAACCCCUGUCCCAUGUUGCCAGCGAGUCAUGUCGGGGACUCAUGGGAGACUGCCGGUGCCAAACCGGAGGAAGGUGGGGAUGACGUCAGGUCAUCAUGGCCCUUAUGUCCUGGGCUGCACACAUGCUACAAUGCUUGCUACAAAGGGAAGCAAUCUCGCAAGAGGGAGCGAAUCCCAAAAAGGCAAGCUCAGUUCGGAUCGGGGUCUGCAACUCGACCCCGUGAAGUCGGAGUCGCUAGUAAUCGCAGAUCAGCAACGCUGCGGUGAAUACGUUCCCGGGCCUUGUACACACCGCCCGU
rnacentral:rRNA from 1 species